UCACGUUUGAUUUUUUUCUUUCUUUCUUUUCCUUUUAUUUUUUUUUCCUUUUUUUUUCUUUUCUUCUUCUUUUUCUUUUUUUUUUUUGUACAUCUCGAACGUGCCCGAGAAAUUUGUCCCAAUGAAUAUCAUCGCACGGCAUUUUCUAUCGUUAUCGAGAAAACGUGCGAUUGGCACCGAAAGAUUUGUCGGAGCAUCAAAAUUGUUCGUGAAAAACACCUGCUGCUACCCAUUCGAUCGCGUAAAUCGUCGCAAAAAGUCGUAAUAAUCGUCGGUUGCCGAAUGCAAUUAAUGCAUAAAAAUAUCGAAUGUGGCUCGCGAUUUCUUAAUUUCACUUACAAGUCUCGCGUUACGAGGUUAACCACCAAGCAACUUUCUCAUGCGGCCCGUACUUCAAUACUUUCUGUGAUACGUGCUGGUUUAUAAAACAAGUUUGACGUGCAUUUAUCAAUUACUGAUCAUUCGAAAAUGUAGAAUGAACAAGUAUUGCUAUUUUUUGUGUGUCAAGGAUAUAUCAAUCGAACCCUAUGAUUCUUUUUUUACAGAAUUCAGAAAAAUGAUUUUCCUGCGUUAUACCUGCUUCUUAAUCUCGUUAGUUACUGUACGGGCGGAUUUCAACAUUUCAACGCACGAUCUUAAAGUGUUACUUUAUCAAAGAAAAACUUUCGACGUAUACUUGACGAAUUAUACUGAAUUAGAAAAUACGACAGUAUGCCUAAAUGUAAACCAUAAGGAUUUAAUUUUGGUCGAGCCAUCAGAAUUUAAUGUUACGUUGAAUGAAUCACAUAAGAUAAAUGUAACGGGUAUUGGUGCUGGACAUUCGAUUAUCAGUCUGAACGUUGUACCUUCGGAUGCUGUACAUUUUUCGGAAGCAUUCGUUAGAGUGACAGUGGAAAAGUCGGAUACGAUUUAUCACGUUAGCAUUGUAGUCGGAUGGAUAUAUUUCUUGGCAUGGAGUAUAAGCUUUUAUCCACAGAUAUAUAGUAAUUACAAACGCAAAAGCGUCGUAGGUCUUAACUUUGACUACUUGUCGCUUAAUAUCGUUGGAUUUAUCAUGUAUGCAUUGUUUAAUUGUUGCCUUUUUUGGAUACCAGAGAUAGAGCAAGAGUACUUUAAUAGGUAUCCAAAGGGAUUGAAUCCUGUACAAGUUAAUGAUAUAUUUUUUUCUCUACAUGCAGUAUUCGCCACUGUGAUAACUAUCAUCCAAUGUUUUAUAUAUGAGGCUGGUUCUCAAAGAGUAUCCACGACGGCGCGUAUUAUUCAUGGAAUAUUCGCGAUAUUUAUACUUAUUUCUAUGUUAUUGGCCAUAACGGUAGUAAUUGCAUGGCUCGACUUUUUAUACUACUGCAGUUACGUUAAACUGUGUAUAACUCUUAUCAAAUACGUGCCACAAGCGUUUUAUAACUACAGGAGGAAGUCCACUGUUGGUUGGAGUAUUGGAAAUAUAUUUUUAGAUUUCACUGGUGGUAUACUGUCGAUGCUACAGAUGAUAUUGAAUGCAUACAAUUAUGACGACUGGGAGAGCAUUUUUGGAGAUCCAACUAAAUUUGGACUGGGCUUCUUUUCUGUAGCAUUCGAUGUAUUUUUCAUUAUACAACAUUAUGUUUUAUACAGAUUUAUCAGUGAAAAAGAAAUCGACCUGAAUGGCAAAGUAUAAGCAACAUCUGUCAACGACAUAUUUUUAGCAUCAUCCAAUAAUCAUCCAUUAUUUCUUUCAAUAAAAUAAAAGAUCGAACCAUUAAGUAAUCUAUAUAGCUAGAAUAAUGACUUAACGGUCGGUGGUCCUAACAAUGGAAAUGCCUGAGCAAUAAGGAAGCAAAAAUCGUUUACUAUACAGUAGAACUCAUCCUAUUUAUUUUUGUGGACCGUAAAGACUAUUUGGACAUUCCUGGUGACUGUCAUGAAGAUUCGCAAGAAGGCACUUCUAGCAACACGCUUGCCUAAUGAUAUUCCAUCCUUUCAAUAUCCUUUUUUAUAUAUAUAUAUAUAUAUAUAUAUAUAUAUAUAUACACAUACAUAUAUAUAUA